rnacentral:rRNA from 1 species
UGGGGAAUCUUGCACAAUGGGGGAAACCCUGAUGCAGCGACGCCGCGUGAGCGAUGAAGGUUUUCGAAUCGUAAAGCUCUGUCCUAUGGGAAGAUAAUGACGGUACCAUAGGAGGAAGCCCCGGCUAACUACGUGCCAGCAGCCGCGGUAAUACGUAGGGGGCGAGCGUUGUCCGGAAUUACUGGGCGUAAAGGGUUCGCAGGCGGCAUGGCAAGUCUGAUGUAAAAGGCGAAAGCUCAACUUUCGUAAGCAUCGGAAACUGUCAAGCUUGAGUGAAGGAGAGGCAAGUGGAAUUCCUAGUGUAGCGGUGGAAUGCGUAGAUAUUAGGAGGAAUACCGGUGGCGAAGGCGACUUGCUGGACUUCAACUGACGCUGAGGAACGAAAGCGUGGGUAGCAAACAGG